ACGGGUGAGUAACACGUAGGCAACCUACCCUCUAGACUGGGAUAACUACCGGAAACGGUAGCUAAUACCGGAUAAUUCCCUGACCCCCCUGGGCUAGGGAUGAAAGGCGGAGCAAUCUGCUGCUAGAGGAUGGGCCUGCGGCGCAUUAGCUAGUUGGUGGGGUAACGGCCUACCAAGGCGACGAUGCGUAGCCGACCUGAGAGGGUGAACGGCCACACUGGGACUGAGACACGGCCCAGACUCCUACGGGAGGCAGCAGUAGGGAAUCUUCCGCAAUGGGCGAAAGCCUGACGGAGCAACGCCGCGUGAGUGAUGAAGGUUUUCGGAUCGUAAAGCUCUGUUGCCAGGGAAGAACGUCCGGUAGAGUAACUGCUGCCGGAGUGACGGUACCUGAGAAGAAAGCCCCGGCUAACUACGUGCCAGCAGCCGCGGUAAUACGUAGGGGGCAAGCGUUGUCCGGAAUUAUUGGGCGUAAAGCGCGCGCAGGCGGCUAUUUAAGUCUGGUGUUUAAACCUUGGGCUCAACCUGGGGUCGCACUGGAAACUGGGUGGCUUGAGUACAGAAGAGGAAAGUGGAAUUCCACGUGUAGCGGUGAAAUGCGUAGAGAUGUGGAGGAACACCAGUGGCGAAGGCGACUUUCUGGGCUGUAACUGACGCUGAGGCGCGAAAGCGUGGGGAGCAAACAGGAUUAGAUACCCUG
rnacentral:rRNA from 1 species